UACAGAGGUCCCAAGCGUUGUUCGGAUUCAUUGGGCGUAAAGGGUGCGUAGGCGGCGCGGUAAGUCGGGCGUGAAAUCUCGGAGCUUAACUCCGAAACUGCAUUCGAUACUGCCGUGCUUGAGGACUGGAGAGGAGGCUGGAAUUUACGGUGUAGCGGUGAAAUGCGUAGAUAUCGUAAGGAAGACCAGUGGCGAAGGCGGGUCUCUGGACAGUUCCUGACGCUGAGGCACGAAGGCCAGGGGAGCAAACGGG
rnacentral:rRNA from 1 species